rnacentral:rRNA from 1 species
AGAGUUUGAUCAUGGCUCAGAUUGAACGCUGGCGGCAGGCUUAACACAUGCAAGUCGAACGAUGAAACUCUAGCUUGCUAGAGAUGAUUAGUGGCGGACGGGUGAGUAACAUUUAGGAAUCUGCCUAGUAGUGGGGGAUAGCUCGGGGAAACUCGAAUUAAUACCGCAUACGACCUACGGGUGAAAGGGGGCGCAAGCUCUUGCUAUUAGAUGAGCCUAAAUCAGAUUAGCUAGUUGGUGGGGUAAAGGCCCACCAAGGCGACGAUCUGUAACUGGUCUGAGAGGAUGAUCAGUCACACCGGAACUGAGACACGGUCCGGACUCCUACGGGAGGCAGCAGUGGGGAAUAUUGGACAAUGGGGGCAACCCUGAUCCAGCCAUGCCGCGUGUGUGAAGAAGGCCUUUUGGUUGUAAAGCACUUUAAGCAGGGAGGAGAGGCUAAUGGUUAAUACCCAUUAGAUUAGACGUUACCUGCAGAAUAAGCACCGGCUAACUCUGUGCCAGCCGCCGCGGUAAUAC